GAUAGCGGAUAGUACCGUGAGGGAAUGGUGAAAAGUACCGCGGGAGCGGAGUGAAAUAGUACCUGAAACCGUGUGCCUACAAGCCGUGGGAGCGUCGGAACAAGGCUUGCCUUGUUCUCGUGACUGCGUGCCUUUUGAAGAAUGAGCCUGCGAGUUUGCGGUGUGUUGCGAGGUUAACCCGGGUGGGGAAGCCGUAGCGAAAGCGAGUCCGAAC
rnacentral:rRNA from 1 species